rnacentral:rRNA from 1 species
AGCAGCCGCGGUAAUUCCAGCUCCAAUAGCGUAUAUUAAAGUUGUUGCAGUUAAAAAGCUCGUAGUUGAAUUUCGGGGUUCUACCGUUGGUCGGGCAAUAGUCUGUACUGGCGUGUGGAAUUUCUACCUUCUGGGGAACCAUCAUGUUAUUUAUUUAGCGUGGUGGGAAACCAGGACCUUUACCUUGAAAAAAUUAGAGUGUUCAAAGCAGGCUUACGUCUGAAUACAUUAGCAUGGAAUAAUAAAAUAGGACGGUGGUCCUGUUUUGUUGGUUUCUGAAUCACCGUAAUGAUUAAUAGGGAUAGUUGGGGGCAUCAGUAUUCAAUUGUCAGAGGUGAAAUUCUUGGAUUUAUUGAAGACUAACUUCUGCGAAAGCAUUUGCCAAGGAUGUUUUCAUUAAUCAAGAACGAAAGUUAGGGGAUCGAAGACGAUCAGAUACCGUCGUAGUCUUAACCAUAAACUAUGCCGACUAGGGAUCGGACGAUGUUAAUUUUUCUUGACUCGUUCGGCGCCUUACGGG